UGACAAGGAGGAUUGCGACCUCGAUGUUGGAUUGGGGUCACCAUAGGGUGCAGCAGCUCUUUGAGGUUGGACUGUUCGUCCAUUAUCACCCUACAUGAUCUGAGUUCAGACCGACGUGAGUCAGGUCAGCUUCUAUCUUCUU
rnacentral:rRNA from 1 species